GGCGCGAGUGGCGAGCGCUUCGGCCAUGGCGUCGCUGGCAUCGGCGCCGCUUUCGCUCACGGGCGAGCGCCACGCCUUCACGCCC
rnacentral:tRNA from 1 species